rnacentral:lncRNA from 1 species
AAGAAUCCAUAUCUCAAAAUCACUUAUGACCAAUAAAUCCUUAUAAGACUCAAGCAAAAAAAUCACGCUUUUGCUGCGCUACUCUGAUACUUCAAUCAUAUGCUUCUUAGAAACAAAAUCACAAAGCCUAAAGGUUUGGCACAGACUUAGUUCUAUUCAUCCUUACAAAAUCCUUCCCAAGCGAGGUAGGAUGUCAUAAACAUCCACACAUUUCCGGUCGGGAACCGCUCUGAUACCAUUUGUAACACCCCAAUCCGAAAUCUAAGGGCAAAUAUGUCCACAACUCACAUAUAAAUUUAAAUAACUCUUUACAACCGAUAAAAUUCGAGCCUCAAAUACAAAAGCCAGCGGAAUAACUUAAAA